UAGAUACCGUGGCAAUCCAUAACACGUCUAGGACUUUUCUACAAAACUUCGAUAAAGUUGUAAGAUUACGACAAUUGAAUGAAAAGAAUAAAAUAACAAUGACUCGUCAAGGCGUCGAAGAUUUUUUCGAUUUGAAUAUGUUGCCUGGUCCACGAACGCAAAGCGCUAUGUCUAUAUCAGAGUUCUCUAAUCAAAAGCCAAAAAUUUCAGCAAUAGAUUCAACAUACACUUUUAUGCCUCGGGCGUUUUGGCGCAAUAAGACUGCUCCAUCACCACGUGAAGUUCCCCUUAUGGAGCCACCUCUAUCGAAAAAACCAGCCGGAGACUCGCAAGGAACUCUUCUUAAAGGAAUACUUAAAAGACCUAUGCCAAUGAAAUAUAUUUGAAUCAUAUUUAUUACUUA